rnacentral:misc_RNA from 1 species
UCCGGUUUGUCACCGGCGGUCCCCUUAGAGUUCCCAACUUAAUGCUGGCAACUAAUGGCAAGGGUUGCGCUCGUUGCGGGACUUAACCCAACAUCUCACGACACGAGCUGACGACAGCCAUGCAGCACCUGUGUCCAGGCUCCCUUUCGGGCACCCCGAGAUCUCUCUCGGGUUCCUGGCAUGUCAAGGGUAGGUAAGGUUUUUCGCGUUGCAUCGAAUUAAUCCACAUAAUCCACCGCUUGUGCGGGUCCCCGUCAAUUCCUUUGAGUUUUAGCCUUGCGGCCGUACUCCCCAGGCGGGGCGCUUAAUGCGUUAGCUGCGGCACGGAGGACGUGGAAUGUCCCCCACACCUAGCGCCCAACGUUUACGGCAUGGACUAC